rnacentral:rRNA from 1 species
GACGAACGCUGGCGGCGUGCUUAACACAUGCAAGUCGAACGGAAAGGCCCUGCUUGCAGGGUACUCGAGUGGCGAACGGGUGAGUAACACGUGGGUGAUCUGCCCUGCACUUCGGGAUAAGCCUGGGAAACUGGGUCUAAUACCGGAUAGGAGCCAUUUUUAGUGUGAUGGUUGGAAAGUUUUUUCGGUGUAGGAUGAGCUCGCGGCCUAUCAGCUUGUUGGUGGGGUAAUGGCCUACCAAGGCGGCGACGGGUAGCCGGCCUGAGAGGGUGGACGGCCACAGUGGGACUGAGAUACGGCCCAGACUCCGACGGGUGGCAGAAGUGGGGAAGAUUGAACAAGGGGCGCAAGCCUGAUGCAGAGACGCCGCGGGGGGGAGGACGGCCUUCGGGUUGGAAUCGCAUUUCGCUAGGGACGAAGCUUUUUGUGACGGUACCUAGAGAAGAAGCACCGGCUAACUACGUG